CCUGGACACAAGGCCAAAGAAACAACUAAAGUUACAAUCUGGUAGAUAGGGUGGGAACAUAUCCUCGUUGUAAUAGAAAUCAUUAAUGACAAACCAACUAACCUUUCGUACUGGACAUUUGGGCGGUAGUUCUGGUAUAAAAUUCCUAACAUUUUUCAUAAUUCCACCAAAUAUAGGAUUGGCCUUUCCGAAAGCAUUUUCCAGAAAUUCACAACCAUCGAUGGUGAUGUUAUACAAAACGGGACGUUGUCCAUUGUUUCGAACGUUCAUUUGUCAUAGAAACCGAUACGAUGAGAUAUGAAUACGAUGCAAAUUUAAUUACAAUGUCCUUGAAUUUAAACGAUUGUAAUGGGCGUAUGAAAUUGAAUGGAACCCUGGUAUUUUUGAAAGAUUUGAAAGAUUUUAGCAUUAUCAAUUGGUUAGUGAUCAAUCGCUCGAAUGGAAAACGCUCCACAUUAUACAAUAUCACUGUAAAGGAUGGAUGUCAAUAUCUGGAAAAUUCUUUUGGCAAAAUUAGUCCCAUAUUUCUGGCUGUUCUGCAAAAUGUUAGAAAAUUUGUUCCCGAUCUUCCGAAUAAGUGUCCCUUUAGAAAGAAUCGUUUGAUAACUGUAAGGGACUUUCAUUAUGAUGAGGACAUGUUUCCACCCUAUUUGCCUGAAGUUAAUUUUAGCUGUGUUCUAGGCAUGCAAAGUAAACGAAGUUAUGUAUUCAAAAUAUUCCUAACAGGUCAUUCUGCCAACAAUAGCAGUGCCAGUGUACAUCGCAGAAAAAUUUAAGCAUUGUGAAUAUGAGUAAUGGUAUUUUUUUUUGUACAAAAAUAUGGUUUG
rnacentral:sRNA from 1 species